ACAAAGAAGAGUUUGAUCCUGGCUCAGGAUGAUCGCUAGCGGCAGGCUUAACACAUGCAAGUCGAGGGGCAGCGCGGGGUAGCAAUACUCUGGCGGCGACCGGCGAAAGGGUGCGUAACGCGUGAGCAACUUGCCCGUAUCCGGGACAUAAGCGGUGGAAACGCCGUCUAAUUUCCC
rnacentral:rRNA from 1 species